rnacentral:pre_miRNA from 1 species
CAUAUACUCCCUCCGUCCCAAAAUUCUUGUCUUAGAUUUGUUUAGAUAUAAAUGUAUAUAGUCAAGUUUUGGUAUUUUGAUACAUCCAUUUCUACACAAAGUUAAGAUAAGAAUUUUAGUACGAAGGGAGUAUGUU